rnacentral:snoRNA from 15 species
UUUUUUAUGAUGAAAAAAAAAUAUCUGAUUCUAAGUUGAUGAUAUCUUAUAUCAUUUCACCAAGAUCUCUGAAAAA